rnacentral:tRNA from 1 species
CCGUCGCGCGAAACCGCCUCAACCCUAAGUCACAACUCAAUCUUCGACCCGGCGCCCCAGGCUACAUCGGGGCAGGCCCAAUCAGCAACA